CGAAAUUGUGUGAAAACACUCCGCCCUUCGGGCGUCGUGUUUCCACACAAUUUCUCGUUUUCCCAAUUUCCACUCGUGUUGAUAUAACUGUAUAUCAACACGGAAAAUGUUUUAUAUUUGUUAAAUACAACAUAGAAGAAUAGAACAAAAUGUAAUAUUUUAAAAACGAAAUAUGGCCGAUUUAACAAGCAGUAAUAACGAAUCGAAACAAACAAUUUCAGGAAAUGGACAAGAUUGCAAUAAAAACCAAGAAACGAAAAUAGUUUCGAGUCAUUCAAAUUCUUCGCUGAAUCGGCCAUUUGUAGCGAGCAACGAAGCGGCGGGGGAAACGGUGUCGAAGAGAAAACGAAAACGUAUGCUUAAACAUCAGCAAUGGCUUCAGAGAAAAGAACAGAAAAAG